rnacentral:lncRNA from 1 species
AAUUAUGGAUAAAACGGGUGGGUACCCAUUAAGCUAUGGGCAUUUUAGAUAACCCACGGGUACCCACGGGUACCCACACAUAUAUAUUUUAAUUACAAAAUAUAUUUUUUUAAUUAAUAUAUUUAUUUAUUUAUUUAUUUAUUUAUUCAUCCUAAAAAUUCUAACCCUAAUUUUUUAUCGUGUUACUUUUUUGUGAAACUUUUUUACUUUAAGACUUUAAAUAUUUUUAUUA